CUCUCACCACGUUCCCCUCCUCCUAGUUCCUGGAGCUCUUGAUCCUGUUAGUCGGCUGUCACUGCGGGAUGAGCCAGGCCGCUGCCCGACAGCAGGUGGGGCUGUGCUGUCCACACUGAGGAUCAGAGAUCAGAGCAAAACCACGUGCCCAGAGUGGGCAAGAGCAGCUGGGGGUUGCUAUUCCUAGGGGAGGUCCAGGAGCCGCUGGCACCGGAGCUUGGUUAGCCAUAGUUCUUCACUUUUAAACAGGAUUUAGUUUGCCUUUUUUCACUUCUAUUCUUUGAGAGCUGGGGGGAGCAGGAGGUGACGCUGCAAACAACCUCUUGAGGUUAGCUACGGCACAGCCCCGAAUCUCAGCUGGCCCAGGGACCUGGAGCUCUGCUCUGAAGGGGCUCACUUGAUGGAGUCUGAGGAUAGUUCAGUGAGAAAGCCAAAAGUUGCCCGAGUCUGUGCUAGGCACUGCUCUGAAGAAACUCAGGUUACUAGAAUCUCAUCUGGCUAGUGGUGGGGCUCCACUGGGCAGAAGAUCACAUUUCUGGGGCUGACCUUCAGUAGAGAGGAAUCUGGAAUAUGAGGCUCUUUCUGCUCUACUCAACAGUUUUUCACGUUUCAGCUAGGGUUGCCAGCCCUCCAGGAUUGCCUUGAAGUCUCCAGGAAUU